rnacentral:rRNA from 1 species
UCGAGGAUCUUUAGCAAUGCCCGAAAGGGUGACUAUGCGACGCCGCGUGCAGGAUGAAGGCCUUCGGGUCGUAAACUGCUGUCAGGGGGGAAGAAACUCCGUGUGUUAAUAGCAUGCGGUCUGACAUUACCCCCAAAGGAAGCCACGGCUAACUCUGUGCCAGCAGCCGCGGUAAGACAGAGGUGGCAAGCGUUGUUCGGAUUUAUUGGGUGUAAAGGGCAGGUAGGUGGCCCGGAAAGUCUGGCGUGAAAUCCCAGAGCUUAACUCUGGAACUGCGCUGGAAACUCCCGGGCUUGAGUGCUGGAGAGGUAAGGGGAAUUCCCGGUGUAAGGGUGAAAUCUGUAGAUAUCGGGAGGAAUACCAGAGGCGAAGGCGCCUUACUGGCCGGCAACUGACACUGAGCUGCGAAAGCAAGGGGAGCAAACAGG